GGCGAACGGGUGAGUAACACGUGGGUGAUCUGCCCUGCACUUCGGGAUAAGCUUGGGAAACUGGGUCUAAUACCGGAUAGGAGACAUCUUUAGUGUGGUGGUUGGAAAGUUUUUUCGGUGUAGGAUGAGCUCGCGGCCUAUCAGCUUGUUGGUGGGGUAAUGGCCUACCAAGGCGGCGACGGGUAGCUGGCCUGAGAGGGUGUACGGCCACAUUGGGACUGAGAUACGGCCCAG
rnacentral:rRNA from 1 species